rnacentral:rRNA from 1 species
AGCGAACGCUGGCGGCAGGCCUAACACAUGCAAGUCGAACGAACUCUUCGGAGUUUGUGGCGGACGGGUGAGUAACACGUGGGAACGUGCCUUUAGGUUCGGAAUAACUCAGGGAAACUUGUGCUAAUACCGAAUGUGCCCUUCGGGGGAAAGAUUUAUCGCCUUUAGAGCGGCCCGCGUCUGAUUAGCUAGUUGGUGAGGUAAAGGCUCACCAAGGCGACGAUCAGUAGCUGGUCUGAGAGGAUGAUCAGCCACAUUGGGACUGAGACACGGCCCAAACUCCUACGGGAGGCAGCAGUGGGGAAUCUUGCGCAAUGGGCGAAAGCCUGACGCAGCCAUGCCGCGUGAACGAUGAAGGUCUUAGGAUUGUAAAAUUCUUUCACCGGGGACGAUAAUGACGGUACCCGGAGAAGAAGCCCCGGCUAACUUCGUGCCAGCCGCCGCUGUAA